rnacentral:rRNA from 1 species
UGUGCCCUACGGGGGGUAGCAGUGGGGAAUAUUGCACAAUGGGGGGAACCCUGAUGCAGCAAUGCCGCGUGGGAGAAGAAGCACUCCGGUGCGUAAAGCCCUGUCAGCAGGGAAGAAAAUGACAGUACCUGACCAAGAAGCCCCGGCUAACUACGUGCCAGCAGCCGCGGUAAUACGUAGGGGGCAAGCGUUAUCCGGAUUUACUGGGUGUAAAGGGAGCGCAGGCGGUAUGGCAAGUCAGAUGUGAAAACCCAGGGCCCAACCCUGGGACUGCAUUUGAAACUGCCAUACUGGAGUGCCGGAGG